UUCAAACUCACCCAAGUCCAAAUUAAUUUUCCUCUUUUAAAGAUCGGCUGACACAAGACCAAAUCGAUCCCCAUCCGGUCCAAAUCAGCUAGUCUCUCAGACCAUCCAAAUGUAUAAGGCCAAUUUUGAGUUUCUUGAGGACAAAUCAAUCUGAGCCUUUCAUGCAUCUUCAUCGGACGGCCAGAAAAAGCCUCACCAUAAUCACAUAAGAAUGUUCGAGAUACCUCAGACACCAAUCAGUUCACCCAAAACGCCCCUAUACUUCGUCUCCUCCAUCUUAAAAACCUAGUCCGCCAUUGUCACCGUUGUUCCAGCUCCAAAUCACACCAAAUUCUUACGGUCCACUCCCCAUAUUCCCUCAAACAUUAAGCUGUUGUCGGUCUCCCCAAAAUCCCUACAUCUUCACCUCAACUUUGAAUCUGAAAAUCAGAAGAAAAAUAAUGUUCUGAUUCCUACGGUCUCAAGACUCGAUUUGACUCAGGACUUCCGUUAAAUGAUUGUUGUUGCUCGGAAUAAUCGGUUAACGAUAGUUUUGGCUCCUUCAGAGAUUUUUUAGUUCCUGACUAGACCAAGAAUGCCUUUCCAAGGUCAUCACCUUCGUUGAUUUGCUCCGGCUAAGACCAGUAUCAUUCCUUUCUCUAUUCCAUUCUUCGCAUCUGUUUCGUAUUUUCUCUUUCUUUGACUUUUGUAUUUUUGUGUGUUUGAAUCAAUUUCUGUUUGAUUAAAAUCAAUAGUUUUAGUUGAUCAUUUGCGUGAUUAGGAUUAAUAUCUAUUUGAGUUUUAUUUUAGCCGAAAUUAUUUAAGUUUAGUCGUUAAUUUUAUUAAAGGGCUUGAUGAAUAAGUUUUCCUUCUCCUUUGUUCAUUUUAAGUUGUAGAUUUGGGCUGUUAGUAUACAGAUUCAUGUAUUGGGUUGGGUUUUGGGUUAAUUCGACCCUGGGGCAACCUUGACCCAUUUGGAAUUCUGAAGUAAUUUUCAGGGGUUUGAGGGGUGGUUUGGAAAAUUAGCCUAGGGAAUCUUUAAAAACUGAUUGAGGAAGCUUCUAGGAAGCUGGGGUAGGGACUAAAUUGAAGUUUUGAAAAUUAAACUAAUGGUACCUAAGCUAAAAUGAAAAUAUCAAAAGGGUUGAAGUGCAAAACAUAGUUCAUUUCUGCAACCCAAAUGCCUUGCCGAUAAAGGCACCAUUACUUGGCAUCUAAGUCAGAUUUUAGAAAAAGAAAAUCUAGAAAAACUGAAACGACUGCAUGAUUGGAUCUAACACUAAUUUCCUUGCUUUACUUGUUUGAAAAUUGGCUCAAAUUUGCUUAGUCUAUAGUUGUUGAUCUUCAUUACUUAGUUAAACAACUGAAAAUGAUGAAAUCUCACACUUGGAUUGAAAUGGAUUGAAAUCUAGGUCUUUGAAAAUUUUGGUUUGAGUGUCUGCUGGUUGGUUUACUAUUCCAUUGCUGGGUUUGAGUUGAUUCCCAUUGAAGCUCCUCACUGUUGAUCUAUUAUUGUUGUCUAUUUCUUCCUAAUCUCAAAAAUUAAGUUUAUGCUUCUGUUGUUGUUAUAUUCAGGUACAUGCUCUUGAACCUCAUAUGUUUGUGAGACUUGAUUUGAAGUAUAGAAUGGACUCAACAUGUUCUGAUUUUGCCUAAGUUAUAUAGUUCUGAGCUUAUCUAAUACACUGCAUCUUGUUGGUUUCUAGUAAUAUCCCUCUAAAGGGCUGUAUUUGAUCUGCACCUAGUAGGGAUUCAAUUUUCUUUCCAAUACCUUAUAGCUAAGCUAGAUGAUUGGUUUGUGAUAAUUGGACUCUCAUUAUAGUGUUUGAUUUUGGACGGCCACAAGAAUUUGAUGGAAAUCAGUUAAUUGAAUUUUGGCUAGGUUUCGUGUUCAAUCAUGUUCAAAUGGGUUUGGUAUCAUCAAUUUGAAAGGGCGGAAUGAUGAGCUAGUUAUCUAGUGUUUCCAUAAUAAAAUAUCAGAGGGAAUGGUCAGUUUAAAUUUAUGUUUGUUUGGUCUUAUUUGGUUGGCUGUUAAAAUGAAUCUGCAUAAAUAUUUUGGGUCUGAAUAUUGGGCUUAGUGCUAGCCCAAUUAUUAAAGGUCCCACUUCAGACCCAUGUGUAAUGGCCAUGAUGCCUUUUCCUUAACCAAGGAUUGGGAUCAUUUUGGCCCAAACCUGGAUGUGUUUGCAAAUUGAUUGUGUUGCCUUUUGGACCUGUCACACUUUGUGAGUGCAGUUCUUUCCUUAUUUGGGCUUUGGCAUGGGAGCAAUGCUUAAACGAUUGGCCUGGAUGUAGCACUUUUUAAUUUCUACUUGAAUUCGAAUAAUCAGUCAGAGUCCGUUUAGUUUACUUUCUUAAUUAGCUAGAUUCUUUAAAUGGGUUGAGGGGGUGCCAUAUUAGCCAAAAUGUAUAAUUUAUGGCCUUCUCAUGCUAAUUUAGAAAUUCGAUUAGAAUAAAUCGAGGUGUGCCAUGCCGAACAAAACCUCAAAAUGCAUUGCACUCGCUUAAUUAAUAUUUUAAUCC
rnacentral:lncRNA from 1 species